GACGAACGCUGGCGGCGUGCCUAAUACAUGCAAGUCGAGCGGACUGAAUGGGAGCUUGCUCUUGUUCGGUCAGCGGCGGACGGGUGAGUAACACGUGGGCAACCUGCCCGCAAGACCGGGAUAACUCCGGGAAACCGGAGCUAAUGCCGGAUAACACCGAAGACCGCAUGGUCUUUGGUUGAAAGGCGGCGCAAGCUGCCACUUGCGGAUGGGCCCGCGGCGCAUUAGCUAGUUGGUGAGGUAACGGCUCACCAAGGCGACGAUGCGUAGCCGGCCUGAGAGGGUGACCGGCCACACUGGGACUGAGACACGGCCCAGACUCCUACGGGAGGCAGCAGUAGGGAAUCUUCCGCAAUGGGCGAAAGCCUGACGGAGCGACGCCGCGUGAGCGAAGAAGGCCUUCGGGUCGUAAAGCUCUGUUGUGAGGGACGAAGGAGCGCCGUUUGAAGAAGGCGGCGCGGUGACGGUACCUCACGAGGAAGCCCCGGCUAACUACGUG
rnacentral:rRNA from 1 species